rnacentral:lncRNA from 1 species
CCUUCCCUAGGGCUCCUUGGGGGGGCAUAGGGAGAGUAAGAAUGAGGCAGGCAAGAGGGUGAGAUGCCCCUAGCCAGAAGAGCUCAACUUAAAGGUUGCCCAUCCCCCUGCCACCACCAGGAAGUGGACAGAUGGCCCCAGGUCUCUGUGUCCUCCUGCCCUGUCGUUGCAUCAUGUCCUGAAUGAAGUAACGCUGGGCCUCACUCCAGGAGACUCAAGGGCUAAUUUCUGCUGAUGGGGCACAGCCACCAAACUGGUUGUUAAAUGAGGCCCUGGGCUGUCUUUGCCAGUACAGACCCUGCUCCGCAGCCCCACGGGGCCUGAGUGACAGCCAGCCUGUGCUAGCCCGUGAGACACUCCCCAGUCUGAAAAGAGGGUCACUGAUAGCAGGGCCGUGAGUGGGUUUGGCUUCCAGAGUGGAGACAGAUGACAAUACCAGUGAUUCUAAGACCCCAAGACCUCGCUGAUGCCAGACACAAUGACAGAUGCCACCCAUCAACCUGAGGCGGAGAAGGGCAUCAUAACUUGUCACAACCCGUCGGCACAGUUUUAUUUCCGGAGAGUCUUUGUAUGUUGUAAGCACUUUCCACAUGCUAAAUCUGAGUUCAUUAACAUUACAGAAGAUGCAUCUCUUUUAGGACUCACACUCCCAUUUUAGGGAAGGUGGCAGACGAAACCACAAAUCAAACUUGUAGGGGUUCAAAAUAGGAAUAGAUUAGUCAUGGACUAUAUCUUUUCAAAGCCUGUUGGCUUCUUAUAUCUGAAAACAGACUGGCUGACUGUGGCCAUUGUCAGGGCUGUUCACAACAUUCUGUUUUUCCCUGUGGGAACAUGGUAUGAUUGCAGCUUUGAAGGUAAGCGUGGCCCACGUGAUUUGCUUUCUCCAGCAUCAUGUGGAUGGGUGCCAUGUGUUACUUCUGAGCGGGAACUUCAAGAGAUAUUCCCCCUAUUCUCUUUCCCUGGCCAUGGUGAUCUUGGAAGCACAUGCUGAGGUGUGGCCUCUGUCAGCAGGGUCCCUAAGUGACUGUACAUACUGGAUAUAUAGCAUUAUGGAAAUAAAUCUUCACUCUGUGAAGUCACUGAGAUUUGGGGGUAGCUUGUUAUGCAGCAGGACCUAGUUCAUCCUGCCUGAUGCACUGACUCACAGCCAGGCACCCAGUGUGGAGCUCUUAAGUUGAAAACAACUUCACUUCACCUGGCGCAGUGGUUCACGCCUGUAAUCCCAGUGCUAUGGGAGGCCAAGGCAGGUGAAUCACUUGAAGCCAGGAGUUCGAGACUAGCCUAGCAAACGUGGUGAAACCCUGUCUCUACUAAAAAUAUUUUUAAAAGUAGCCAGUGCACGUAGCCAGUAGCACGUGCCUGUAAUCCCAGCUACUCGGGAGGCUGAGGCAGGGGAAUUGCUUGAAUCCAGGAGGUAGAGGUUGCUGUGAGCCAAGAUCAUGCCAUUGCACUCCAGCCUGGGCAACAGAGCGAGACUCCAUCUCAAAAAAAAAAAAAA